GAUGAACGCUGGCGGCGUGCCUAAUACAUGCAAGUCGAGCGAACAGACGAGGAGCUUGCUCCUCUGAUGUUAGCGGCGGACGGGUGAGUAACACGUGGAUAACCUACCUAUAAGACUGGGAUAACUUCGGGAAACCGGAGCUAAUACCGGAUAACAUGUUGAACCGCAUGGUUCAACAGUGAAAGACGGUCUUGCUGUCACUUAUAGAUGGAUCCGCGCCGCAUUAGCUAGUUGGUAAGGUAACGGCUUACCAAGGCAACGAUGCGUAGCCGACCUGAGAGGGUGAUCGGCCACACGGGCACUGAGACACGGUCCAGACUCCUACGCGAGGCAGCAGUAGGGAAUCUUCCGCGAUGGGCGAAUGCCUGACGUAGCAACGUCGCGUGAGUGAAGAAGGUGUUCGGAUCGUAAAACUCUGUUAUUAGGGAAGAACAAAUGUGUAAGUAACUAUGCACGUCUUGACGGUACCUAAUCAGAAAGCCACGGCUAACUACGUG
rnacentral:rRNA from 1 species